rnacentral:lncRNA from 1 species
UAAUUAGAAUUUUAUUUCGGAGCAUAUGAUACAAUCAAGUAACUUAAGUACAAAGAUGAUUAAGCUUGGCAAACAAGGAUAUGUCAUGUUUCUCAAUCCGAGAGAUAAGAAGCACAGAGCCAAAGGCCCUGCAAAAAGGCAGGGGAGAACUGAAUUGUUGUUUCCUAAAACUUUGCAUUAAGAUCAACAUGACUUUCUAGUCAUUAAAUAUUCUGCUAGAUUUCGAACUUGCAAAUAUGGUCUGUUUUAAUGAAAUUGCAGAAUGUUGUCUCACGUCUCAAGAACUUUGAUUUCACUUCUUUUUCAAGGAAAAAAAAAUGGUUUCACUUAGUUUGCAGAAGUGUCCUGAACUCAAUUUUCAGACAAAAGUAUGGUUCAAGACUCCUUGGUGAGUGAAAGUAAUUCUUCAUCAUAUUUAUUCCUUUAUUUUUCUUUUUGGAUAUCAUUGUAUUUAUUCUUGUGCAAGGACAAGUACAUGCAUACUCAAACCUUGCAAUUGCCCAGCAUACAGAACUGAGCCAACAGAUGAAACCCGUGGUCAAAUAGGCAAGAAAGACUAAGUCUGACAUCUGGGAAAUGCGCGGACAUGAAGGCCCCCAUCUACAUGAAGAGUGAUCAUCGUCCUGUAGGUGACAGAUUUAUUCUCAUCACUCAGUUUGAACACAAAGUAGUGCACAAGAACAGCCGAGAAGAUCUUCAUCUGCCUAUAAGCAAAUUCCUUGCCUAAACAAAUUCGAGGCCCUGCCUGUAAACCAUUAGAAAAUAAAGUUCAGUAUGUUCACAUCUUUAGCCGGUGAAAUCACACUUGUGAAACAAUAUGAGAAGUUUGAACUUUCGGAAAAAGACCCAGAACCAGAAAUCAAAUGCCGUUAUACUGAUUUUUUACCCUUUUUUCCUAUUUGAGGUUUUAUUUUACACCAAGUGCCAAUCAGAAUAAUAAUGCUUUGGCCGAUCUGGAAACGAAGCGUACAAGAAUUUCUAAUUUGUAGUAUGUUCUGCACACCUGGAAUGCUGUAAACUUAAAAGGGCUUUCUGGUUGGAACAUCCCAUCCUCAUCAAGCCAUCUCUCUGGUCUGAACUCCUCUGCAUCAUCACCCCAUAUGAAUUUCAUUCUGCCCAUUGCAUAAGGUUGAUAACAAACCAUAUCUCCUUUCCUCACACUGAACCCAUCUGGAAGAGUAUCAUCAGAAAAGCAUAUCUUUGGAUCCUGCAAUCAAAGUGAAGAGGUAGUGAGAACCAAAGAAAACCCCAGAACAUAGAAAGGAAGCUAAUUUCUAGCCUUCCCGAUACGCCUUGAAUGGAUAUCAGUUUAUAGAUGCAUGUUCUUUGAUGUGCAUUAACAAGUUCAGUUGGAGGAUUCAAGAUUCAAGGCAACUUUGCUUACAACUGGAACAGCGGGGUAGAGCCUUAAUGUUUCAGUUAAGGCUGCAUGGAGAUAGUGCAUUUUUCCUAGAGCUUCUUCGCUCAAGAUAGCAGCAAAUUCAGCAAAAUCUUUAACCUCCAUCGUGUCAGUUGCUUCCUUCACUUCUUGUGCAACCUUUUCUUGAACAUCAGGAUGCUUGCAGAGCAUGUAAAUAAACCACGACAGAGUAGCUGCUGUUGUGUCUUUCCCAGCAAUUAUGAAGUUAAGGAUUAUAUCUCGCACGUAUGUUGGGUCAGUGUCAUUCAAUUGCAGAAAUCUGGAUAAAAUGUCUUCCUUUUUCAUCUGCACAAUCCGUAGAAUACAAUUAUUUCAAAAUUCUACAUAGAAACCGUUAAUUAUAAGUAGCUCUAUUCUUCUAGUUCACUCACAGAAGAAUCGUUCGAGUUACGCAUCUGCUCAAUCUUGUUGUGGAUCAGCUUAUACACAAAAUUAUCAACCACUUUUGUACUUUUCUUUAGUUUUGCUUCUGAUCCAAUAUUUAAAAAUCUCUUGAUCUUCCAGAAGAUAUCAACAUAUCGGAAGAGGAUUGCUGCGCUUGAAUCAUCAAAAGCAGCUGUAAACUCUUUGCCUUCUAAAUUUGAUCCACACACGCUGUCUAGUUCAACUCCAAAUCCAACUUUGAAUAUCGAAUCUAAAGUCGAUUUCAUAAACAAGUCCUGCACAACAUUUCGCUAUAACAGGUUCAUAUUAUAUAUCACUCCGUCAUGGAUCUUGCCAUUAGGUGAACUUACCUGAAUAUCCAUUAUCUUGUUGGACUUCGCUGCGUCAGACACUAUAUUUGCAAGCUUUGCUGCAUUUUUCCGAAAGACUACAGUGCUGAAAUCCCUCAACACCUUCGUUGAGAAUUCAUAGCUUGACACUUUCCUCUGUUGACGCCACUUAUCACCAUCGACUGCGAAAAUCCCAUCACCUAGUAAACCCUUUAGCAAGCUGUAAUUGUACUCACCCUGCACAGAAAAUUAGACAAAUUGAAAAACCAAAACGACCCCACCAUUCUGCCGUAGCCAUAUAAUUAUCAAAAACUCUUUCGUUAUAGCAAAUAACCCUGCAGCACAUUAGCAUUUGUAGUUGACUUAAUUGUGACUAUAGAUUGAGACACUCUUUCAUAUUCUAAUUCUGGGUGUUACUGUCUAAGCUACUUCUUCCAACCAAUGACAGGGGGAGUUCAAAAUUUUCUAGACCAACAAAUUACCUUGCCAUAAUUCUGGAAAUUUGUUUUGAGAAUAUAUUCAACGUUGUCUGGUUCCGAGGUAUAAACCUCACUCCUGAAAGGGCUAAGCAGCCUGUAGUUCCUGUACUUCCCAGCAAGAUCAGUCAUAUAGUGAUGCACUCUUUUGAAGUUGAGGAGCUGGUUAAAAAGUGUUCCGCCAACAGGAUGGUACUUGGUCUUGUUUUUUUUCUGCUUUUCUCUUAGUUUUGCUGCGAGGAACUUGACAGUGAAAAGGAUCAGGAUUAGAUUUAGAAACAAAGCGACCAAUGUAGCUGGGUUAGACAGAUCCAUGGAGAUGGAGGUCCUUUUUGGGUAAGCUGGUCGAUCAAUGUUAGCGGGUGAAGACUGAAGAAAACUAGAGGUCUUUUUAUAAUACUAAUAAUAUCAACGGGGAGAAAUCCUUUUGCUAAGUCAUUUCUCUUAACCAGACGUGUGACUAUAUUCGGACAAUCCGCAAACGUGUUUCUCUUAAAUUUUACGUGCACAUUGCUGAGAGUCCAACCAUGAGAGAGAUAUGCACCGACUUUCCUUCGUUGUCUCCUUUUUCGUUUUUAAAUUGUUAUAAGUUAUUAACUAAUUUCACCACAACCAAUUAACAAAACAAAGGGCAGGACUAGGUUUUUUUUUACUCAGUCAAUAUAACUAUUUAGAGAAAAUUGUGAAAAAUAACUCAUAAGGUGAUUUCAAAAAUAAUUAUCCAUAUAAUGUUAUCUGUUUUUACCAAAAAACAAACAUGAGUAAACCAAAAUGCUCUCAGAAACAUCCUGGCAAAUCAAUCUCCUAAUAUCUCUCUCGCUGUAAAGAAAAUAAAUACUCAGUUAUUUCAGCUCGCUCAACUCUUUCAGCUCUCUAAAUUAUAUCAGCUUUGUCAACUCUCUGUUAAGUACCAUCGUCAUCAACUCUCUUAGCUAUUUGAACUGUAUCAUCUAUAUGUACUUAUUAAAGAUAUAAAUUAAAGAAUAUAAAAGAAAACGAAGUAAAUGAAUAAUUGAAAAGACAAGUCGAGCCACUAAUUACUACAAUGAUCACUGUCUGAUCACGACAGCUAAAGCCACUGCAAUUGCUCGGCCAAUAAAGUUGACAAACUUUGUUGAAAUAGGACUUGCAUUGAAAAUCACGUCAGUUCAUACUAUCUUAGGAUCAUAUGUGACCAUUUUGUAUAAGCUAGCUUUCUUUCAAAUUAUGAUAACUAUGCAUUUAAUGAAUGAUUUAUAUGAUGAUUAGUAUGCAUUCUUAGGCCUAGCUACUGUUCAAAACUUAGUUGUUAAGUUUUGUUAUGUAUAUAAACUAAGUCAAUGCAUAUCAGAAAUAUGAAACCUACUGUUACAACAAAAACUGUCUUUACUUGCUCUGUUUCAUACUUAUCCUACAUCAACUAAAACACAACAAAACUUACUAAAUAAAGCAAUCUAUAUACCAACAAUGUCUUGGAAUUUAGCAAGUUUUAGUUUGUCCUCUUGGAAUGACAUAGAGGUCGAGGCCAUGCUGGAGGGUGAAGCCACAACAUGGUCCUAUCGUCUGCCAAGUUGAAGCGAAAGUAGUGAAUAAGGGAACUUUGUUGAGAUUUUCUUUAUCUGCUCAGAAGAAAUUAAGAAAAAAUUAUAUGGUGUAGAUACUUGAUUUUGAUUUUGAUUGUUAACAUAUUUCUUCAAUAUAAAGUAAAAUUAAUUUAUAAAACGUUGUAUUACUAUGUAAGAAGUAGUGUAGAUAAUUUAUAAUAAGUAGAAAAAUCACGUCAUUGUAUAAACUAGUGAAAAUAUCUUCGAAAUAAAUGAUGAGAUUUUUAAAUUAAUUUUUUUAAAAUGUUUUGAAGAGUUUGAUUUGAUAACUUAAAUACAUAAAUGAAAAUUUUCUAAAUACGUAUGCAUAAAAUCCACUAUCACCAUCAAUGACCUAAACAUUCAUAAGGCUUUAAUGCCUCAACAGUUGACAUUUUCUCAUUGGUAUGAAUAAAUUUCAUUAAUUACAAGAUUACUCAAUUCCAUAACCCUUCAAGAUAUUUUCUCAUUGAUUGUGUUCGAUUUGAUAAGGAUGUUAAUUUUUUUUUUUGAAUUACAAAUAUUUUUCAUUUUUUUAAAUAAUUAAGUGACGCACUUCUAAUGCCUCAGUAGCUGACAUUAAUUAUCCAUUGGUUGCAUUCACUUUGAUUCGGAGCUAAUUAACAACCGAAAAGUUGGCCGAUGUUUGCCGACUUGGAUUUAAUGGUCAUAUGAGUUGGUGUAACAAUGUGAUACCAAAAAGGUAGUAAUCAAUACAAAUUUUGAGUAGGAAGAGUACUGCAUUCAAAUGAAAUCAAGAAGAAGAUUGUGGAGAAAACUCUCAUUUAAUGGAAGAACAUGACUGCCAAAUACGAGUACCUAAACAUGGUUUGGCAAUUGCCAUCAUCCUAUGCAUCCCUAGGUUACUUAACUGAUUGAUGUAAUUCAUUGAAUAAAAUGGUUAGUUGUUAUUAUCAUGUCAUGUCAUCGUCAUGAUAUUUCUUCCUCUUUUGUGAGUAAUGAGAUUUUUGAAGGAUGGAGAUGACUCUACCUAAAUUCUUAGAUUUUUUUGUUGCUUAUUUUCAUUGUAUUUUGAGUUUUUGACUGUGUCUAACUGUUUAUCUUUUGCAAAGCCAUUUUUUCACCUUAAUUUCAACCCAGCAUCUGUGUGUUGUCCGAUGGGUUAGAAAAUGGGCAAGUUUGAUUGGUGGUUGAUUCCUUUUCUUCAGCAUUUUGGUAACUUGGGCCUAUAAAAUUUAUUUAUAGUAGACAAAAAAAAACUUUUAUUAAAAAAUAUUAUAGUAAAUAUUUGUUUCUUUUCGGAUAAUUGACUUUUAUUUAGCUAAGGAAUAUUUUAUUUGAAAUAUGUCCCAUAUAUACCACUGAAAAUCCAAGGCUUUUUAUGGUUAUUCAUUCUUAAUGGCAUUUCUACUAAAUGCUUUCUAAGAAUCAGAACGCAUGGUGUAUGUCCUACAAUACAAAUGGUGAUAACCUUUGUUUUUGGUGUUACAGCCAUGGAGGAAAAGAGUGAUGAUAUUUUAUUUUCUUGUCACUUCAUACGGUCCAUGGAGGAAAUGUGGAUAGAUCGAAGAUAAGUAAAUCAAGAUUCACAGACUGUGAAAGCGUAUUAAAAGAUGAGAACUUUUUGACUUGGAUUUUUUUUAAUAAAAGUUCUUUGCUUGGAUUUUUUUUUAGUAAAAAUUCUUUGCUUGGAUUUAAGAGAUGAGAUUCAAAGAACUUUUAAGAGAUGCAGCAAACAACCUCAAAAUCCAAGCUCUUUGCUUGUAAGCUUCCUAGCCACUUGUAAACAGAAAAUACGGCUUCUAUGGAGUCCCAAUCUCGGGAAAUGGUCAGGGCAUAUAGACCAGAUGACUCGAAUUGUACAUAUAUUUUUUUCUUUUUUGGUGAAAUAACUCAAAUUCCAUUGAUCAACACAUUUACAGAAAAAAGCAAAUCAACACUAUAGAAAAAUGCAAAUCGGGGCUCUUAUGUACAACCAGCAAGGUUGAAGACUUGAAGUUGAACAAAUUGAUGACUUUGCACAGGAGGAUAUUUGGAAAUUCAUCAACUUGUCCUUGGAACAGCAUAAAGAUGGAGGCCCCCCUUCAUAUGAAGUGUGAACAUUGUCCUGUAAGUUGCAAUUUUCGUAUAAUCAACUAAUUUAAAGCGGAAGAAGCGAAGAAGGGCAAUUGAGACUAUCUUCAUCUACCGGUGAGCAAAAUCCUUGCCUAAGCAAGUUCGAGGACCCGCCUGAAACAUAAUGCAGCAGCUGGAAAAGAUUAAGAUCGUUUGACAACUAUAUAGGCACAUGCAUGUUAUACACAUGGUAGAAAUGGAACAAAGAAUACUAACAUGAAAUGCUAUGAAUUUGAAAGGGGAUUCGGACUGGAAAACUCCAUUGUUAAGCCAUCUUUCUGGUCGAAAAGUGUCGGCAUCUUCUCCCCAAAUGUCAGGCAUUCUACGCAUGGCGUAGGCCAUGUAAUACACCCCGUCUCCUUUCUUGAGUUUGUAGCCAUCGGGGAGAAUGUCAUCCUGCUCUGCAUUCCUUCCAUCCUUGAAGCACAAAGUGAGAACCAUAUCAUAUUCCAGCUGUCGAAAUGCUAAGACUGCAAGAAAAUCUAUGAGUGUCUCAGGCACCUUACAAUGGCGACAGCAGGGUACAGCCUUAAGGUCUCUGUUAUGGCUGCAUGAAGAUAGUGCAUUUGCUCUAGGGUUGAAUCAGUUAUGGUUGUCACGAAAUCAUCAACAUUAUUAGCACCAUUUCUUUUACUACUAGUGACGUCCACCACUUCUUGUGCAAGUUUUUCUUGUAUCAAAGGGUUCUUGCAGAGCAUGUAGAAGAACCAGGACAGAGUAUUCGCAGAAGAAUCUUUGCCAGCGAGUACGAAGUUCAGGAUUAUAUCCCUUAAAUAUUUGUCAUUCAUUGUGUCUGGAUUCUUCUCGCUUUCCACUAAAAAUCUUGAAAGUAUGUCUUCUUUCACAUUCUUGAAGCCAUAAAAAGAAAUAAGAAAAAACAAACCAAUUAUUAGUAAAGUAUAAAUUUCCACGCCAAAAACCAGAUUACCUUAAGCAGUGAGAUUGAAUUCAACAGUGUUCUUGUGACUCUCAAGUCCCACCAUAUUUGUUAGACCAAGAUUGACUAUAAGAAAUUCUUGCAGCAAAAUAUAUAUGGCUCACCAAAUCUCGUUCCAUGCCCAGCAGUUUCCUCUUGGAGCUAAUGACAUCGUGAACAAAGUAUCAACGACUUUGAUAUUCUUUCUGAGGGCAGCUUCAGAGCCAAUGUUAAGAGACCGUUUCAGCUUCCAGAAAGGGUCAACAAAGCGCCUCUCAUUUGAAUCAUCAAAAGCCUUCAUAAAAGUAGUCCCUUCCUUACUUGACCCAUCCAUGCAGUUUAAAUCUAUGCCAAACCCAACUUUGAAUAUGGAAUCUAGAGUGCAUGUCAUUAAUAGAUUCUACAAAUUAAAGUAAACACAGCAUGAAAAACUGAAAAAGGGAAAAUUAGACAAGCAUAAUUGUGAGCAUCUUUAAAGUUUUGGGUUAAUUUGAGGGUCAGAUUUCUCACUUGCAUGUCAAAAGCUUGACCCGACACUUCCAGCUUCGAAAUAACUCCAACCAGUUUGGCAGCGUUCCUUCUGAAAACAGAGCAGCUAAAAUAUUUAAGAACUCUCGUCGAGAACUCGAAGCUUGCCAGCUUCCGCUGCUUCCGCCACUUGUCUCCGUCCACCGCAAAGAUCCCUUGUCCAAAAAGAUCUAUCAGAAUUUCUUGGUUUUGUUUACCCUUACAGUAUCUGUCGAACUUUGUUUUCAAUAUGUACUCUACAUUUCGCGUAUCGACGGUGUAUACUACGCUUAGCCCUAAAGCGAGUUGCCUGUAAGUGGGCUGUUUUUUGGCCGCUUGGGUUUGGUAGUCGUAGAGAUAGUUGAAAUAAAACAACUGGUUGAAAACGCUGCCCUUCACCGGUGGGUUGUCAGGAUUUCCGAUGGAUUUUCCGGUGAAGAUUUUGAUUGUGAGAAAAGAGAAGAUCAGGAAGAGAAUGAGUGGUGGUAAUGACAUCAACAAGAAGAUGGUAGAGAGAAUAUCCAUUUUUCCUUUUUCUAAUGAAUACUCGGAAAGGUUAUAGGCCAUAUAUGCAGAUUCUUGCAUUGGGUUGCAUUCAUUUUUCAACCUACCAACAAAAUCAAACCGUUUUCAUCACCAAUAUCUUUCUCAACAACAAAAUCAUUUGUUUAAUAAUUAUAAUGUUUACACGUGUACGAUUGCCAUUUCAUCAAUUUGAUUUUUCUUGUAAAUUAAGUUGAUGCCACCAUAUCUCAUACUUCAAAAAUUUUAGAGGAUUGUACGGAUAAUCAUAAAUUUAUAAUCAUAAUUAUAAUCUAUUUAACUUCUAAAGUGAAUUAACAUAUAUAACUUUAAUCAAGUAAGCAUGAAAAAAGUGUAUCAUUUAAGUUUGGGUCUUGUUUACGAAUAUUCUAAGAGUUUUUUUAUCGUUAAUUAAAAUAUUAUAAUAAUAUUUUUCUUUUAAAUGUCGUAAUUGACUGGUAGUGCGAUGAUUUUCAAUAUAUCUAAAAUGAUAUUACUCAAUAUAAUAACUUUAAAUAAUAUCAUUAUAACAAUAGUUAGUAAAAGUCAUAAUAUUCAAAAAAGCUUUUAAAUUAUUCAAAAAAUUUAAAAUAAAUCUUACUUUUAUUAUAUUCAAUUAUAUUUUUAUAUUUUUAUUUUAGAUCAAAUAAAUCUUUUAUUUUUAUUUUGAAUCAAAUAAAUCUUUAUAAAUAAUAAUUGACUUAGUUAAAAUGUUAUUUGUCAUUAUAUAUUACGUGACGCUGAUGUAGUAUACUAACAUAUCAUAAUUAAUGAUGAUGUGAUAUGUUGAUUUAUCAUAUUUGAUAAUGAUAUGACAUGCUAGUUUAACCUAAUAACAUGAUGACAUUUUUCAAUCUCUACAUUAAUAUCAUAUUAGUGCCACGUGGAUAUAAAAUGAUAAAAUAUAUUUUGACUAAUGAAAAUUAGUCAAUUAUUAUUAAUAAAAGCUUAUUUGAUCUAAAAUAAAAAUAUAGAGACUUGAUUAAGCGUAACAAAAGAAUAAAAAUUUAUUCGAAUUUUGUUAAAUAGUUUCAGAGCUUAUUUGAGAAAUAUGUGUUAGUAAAACCAUUUAUAUUUAAAUUUUUAUUUUAUUUUUUGAAAAGUAAUUUGUCAUAAACGGAAUAAUGACAUGGCUAUAGAUUAAGCUAGGCUAUAAACUUAUUUCAGCCUUAAAUGAUUAACAAUGAAUAAGGUGCGUCCCCUCUCAAGAAACCCCUAUACAAUAGUUAGGAUAAACCCUUAAAGGAUGGACCUCAGGACCGGGGGCAGCUCAAGUACCUCUUGUGACGACAUGAUAUUCAUUGAAGACUAUUUGGACUUCAAGCGUGUUCAUCCAUUGACAUUGGCAAUUAGUUUCUGCUGGCAUGAACCGUAUGGCGACCACUUGUAUGAUUGUGAUAUAUCAUGCUGUUGAGUGCGAGCUCAACUUUGUUGAAGUACAUUGGUGUCCUUGGUUUUGUUGAAUUCUGACAAUAGACAUCCCAUACCCAAUUCAUAGCAUACAUAUGGCUUUUAUCUUUGUUUAAAUUGAAUUAAGAACAUCCGGAUUCAUUUCAUACUCAUAAGAUCUUAAGAUGAUCAAGAUUUGCACUUAACGGAAGCAAAACUGGCCUGAACUCAAUAUUCAGACAAAAGUAUGGUUCUAGACUCUUUGGUCAGUGAAAGCAACCAUCCAUCAUAUCGAUUCCUUUCGUCCUUUUUGCUUGGUGACAUCAUCCGAUUUACUCAUGUGCAAGGAAAGAUACAAGUAUAUUAACAGUGUGCAUUUGCCUAGUAUAAAGAACUGAGCCACCAGAUGAAACCCUUGGUCAAAUAAGCUAGAAAGACCAAAGUUAAGUCUGACAUCUGUGAAGUGCGCGGACAUGAAGGCCCCCAUCUACAUGAAGAUUGAUCAUCGUCCUGUAGGUGACACAUUUAUUCUCAUCACUCAGUUUGAACGCAAAGCAGUGCACCAGAACAGCUGAGAAGAUCUUCAUCUGCCUAUAAGCAAAUUCCUUGCCUAAACAAAUUCGAGGCCCUGCCUGUAAACCAUUAGAAAAUAAAGUUCAGUAUCUUCACAUCUUUAGCCGGUAAAAUCACACUUGUGAAACAAUAUGAGAGGUUUGAACUUUCAGAAAAAGACUCAGAACCAGAAUCAAAUGCUGUUAUGCUGCUUUUUUACCAUUUUUUUUCUAUUUGAGGUCUUUUUUUACACCAAGUGCCAAUCAGAAUAAAAAUGCUUUGCCCGAUCUGCAAAAGAAGCAUACAACAAUUUCUAAUUUGCAACAUGUUCUGCAUACCUGGAAUGCUGUAAACUUAAAAGGGCUUUCUGGUUGGAACAUCCCCUCCUCAUCAAGGCAUCUCUCUGGUCUGAACUCCUCUGCAUCAUCACCCCAAAUGAAUUUCAUUCUGCCCAUUGCAUAAGGUUCAUAACAAACCAUAUCUCCUUUCCUCACACUGAACCCAUCUGGAAGAGUUUCAUCAGACAAGCAUAUCUUUGCAUCCUGCAAUCAAAGUGAAGAGGUAGUGAGAACCAAAGAAAACCCCAGAACAUAGCAAGGAAGCUAAUUUCUAGCCUUCCCGAUAUGCAUUGAAUGGAUAUCAGUUUAUCGAUGCAUGUUCUUUGAUGUGCAUUAACAAGUUCAGUUGGAGGAUUCAAGAUUCAAGGCAACUUUGCUUACAACUGGAACAGCGGGGUAGAGCCUUAAUGUUUCAGUUAAGGCUGCAUGGAGAUAGUGCAUUUUUCCUAGGGCUUCUUCGCUCAAGAUAGCAGCAAAUUCAGCAAAAUCUUUAACCUCCUUCGUGUCAGUUGCUUCCUUCACUUCUUGUGCAACCUUUUCUUGAACAUCAGGAUGCUUGCAGAGCAUGUAAAUAAACCACGACAGAGUAGCUGUCGUUGUGUCUUUCCCAGCAAUUAUGAAGUUAAGGAUUAUAUCUCGCAAGUAUGUUGGAUCAGUGUCACUCACUUGUAGAAAUCUGGAUAAAAUGUCUUCCUUUUUCAUCUGCAUAAUCUGUAGAAAAUAAUAAUUUCAAUAUUCUACUUCAACAGGUAAUAUAAGCUGUUAACUAUAAGUAGCUCUACUGUUCUAGUUCACUCACUGAAGCUUCAUCCUUUGAGUUGCGUAUUGGCUCAAUCUUGUUGUGGAUCAGCUUAUACACAAAAUUAUCAACCACUUCUAUACUUUUCUUCAGUGUGGCCUCUGAUCCAAUAUUUAGAAAUCUUUUGAUCUUCUAGAAGAUAUCAACAUAUCGGAAGAGGAUUGCUGCACUUGAAUCAUCAAAAGCAGCUGUAAACUGUUUGCCUUCUAAAUUUGAUCCACACAUGCUGUCUAGUUCGACUCCAAAUGCAACUUUGAAUAGUGAAUCUAAAGUCGAUUUCAUAAACAAGUCCUGCACAAUAUAUCGUUAUAACAGAUCCAUUUUAUAUAUCACUCUGCAUUGAUCUUGCCAUUAGGUGAACUUACCUGUAUAUCCAUUAUCUCAUUGGAAUUUGCUGCUUCAGACACUAUAGUUGCAAGUUUUGCCGCAUUUUCCCGAAAGACUACACUGCUGAAAUCUCUCAAGACCUUGGUUGAGAAUUCAUAGCUUGAUACUUUCCUCUGUUGACGCCACUUAUCACCAUCGACAGUGAAAAUCCCAUCACCUAGUAAACCCUUUAGCAAGCUGUAAUUGUACUCACCCUGCACAGAAAAUUAAACAGUUUGGAAAACCAAAACAACUCCACCAUUCUGCCUUUUGGGUGGCCAUAUAAUUAUCAAAAGCCCUCUCAUUCCAACUAAUCACUCUGCGGCAUAUUAGCAUCUACAAUUGACUUACUUGUGGCGAGAUUGAGACCCUUUUUCUUAAUCUAAUUACGGGUGUUUCUGUCUAAGCUACUUACACUAACCAAUCACCGGGAGAGUUCAGAAUUUUCUAGACCAACAAAUUAUUUGUGACUUUGAGGUGUGAAACGAGAGUCGGCACCAUACCUUGCCAUAUUUCUGGAAAUUUGUUUUUAGAAUAUACUCAACAUUGUCUGGUUCCGAGGUAUAAAUCUCAUUCCUGAAAGGGCUAAGCAGCCUGUAGUUCCUGUACUUCCCAGCAAGAUCAGUCAUAUAGUGAUGCAAUCUUCUGAAGUUGAGGAGCUGGUUAAAAACCGUUCCGCCAACGGGAUGGUACUUGGCCUUAUUUUUCCUCUGCCUUUCUCUUAGUUUUGCUGUGAGGAACUGGACGGUGAAAAGGGUCAGGAUUAGACUUAGAACCAAAGCUACCAAGGGAACUGGGUUAGACAGAUCCAUGAAGAUGGAGGUACGUUUGGGAAAGCUGGUCUAUCAAUGUUAGGUGAAGGCUGUAUUAAACUAGAGAAGUCGUUCUGAAAUACUAAUAAUAUCAACGGAGAGAAGUCCUUCUGCCAAGUUAUUCCUCUCAACCAAACGUGUCACAACCUAAUUGGACUACAUUCGGACAAGCCCGAAACGUGGUUCUCUCGAAUUUCACAAGGUGAAAUUUUUGAAAUUGGCAAAAAAUUACUAAUAAAUUUCACCACAACCAGAUAACAAAACAAAGGGUCAUACUUAUUUUUUCCUUAGUUAUGAUGGUAAAGGACAUACAUAUCUGUUCUAUUCGGUUAUUUUGUAGUUAAGUAAAGAGAAUGAUUUUUUAAUUUAAUUUUUAAAUAAAAAUACGUGUAUUUAUCAUGUUAAGUUUAAUAUUCAGAUGAAAAAUUAAUUAGAAUUUUAUUUCAAAGCAUAUGAUACAAUUAAGUAACUUAAGUACAAAGAUGAUUAAGCUUAGCAAACAAGGAAAUGUCAUAUUUCUCAAUCCGAGAGAUAAGAAGCACAGAGCCAAAGGCCCUGCAAAAAGGCAGGGGAGAACUGAAUUGUUGUUUCCUAAAACUUUGCAUUAAGAUCAACAUGACUUUCUAGUCAUUAAAUAUUCUGCUAGAUUUCGAACUUGCAAAUAUGGUCUGUUUUAAUGAAAUUGCAGAAUGUUGUCUCAGGUCUCAACAACUUUGAUUUCACUUCUUUUUCAAGGAAAAAAAAAUGGUUUCACUUAGUUUGCAGAAGUGUCCUGAACUCAAUUUUCAGACAAAAGUAUGGUUCGAGACUCCUUGGUGAGUGAAAGUAAUUCUUCAUCAUAUUUAUUCCUUUAUUUUUCUUUUUGGAUAUCAUUGUAUUUAUUCUUGUGCAAGGACAAGUACAUGCAUACUCAAACCUUGCAAUUGCCCAGCAUACAGAACUGAGCCAACAGAUGAAACCCGUGGUCAAAUAGGCAAGAAAGACUAAGUCUGACAUCUGGGAAAUGCGCGGACAUGAAGGCCCCCAUCUACGUGAAGAGUGAUCAUCGUCCUGUAGGUGACAGAUUUAUUCUCAUCACUCAGUUUGAACACAAAGUAGUGCACCAGAACAGCCGAGAAGAUCUUCAUCUGCCUAUAAGCAAAUUCCUUGCCGAAACAAAUUCGAGGGCCUGCCUGUAAACCAUUAGAAAAUAAAGUUCAGCAUGUUCACAUCUUUAGCCGGUGAAAUCACACUUGUGAAACAAUAUGAGAAGUUUGAACUUUCGGAAAAAGACCCAGAACCAAAAAUCAAAUGCUGUUAUACUGCUUUUUUAGCCUCUUUUUCUAUUUGAGGUUUUAUUUUACACCAAGUGCCAAUCAGAAUAAUAAUGCUUUGGCCGAUCUGGAAACGAAGCGUACAAGAACUUCUAAUUUGUAGUAUGUUCUGCACACCUGGAAUGCUGUAAACUUAAAAUGGCUUUCUGGUUGGAACAUCCCAUCCUCAUCAAGCCAUCUCUCUGGUCUGAACUCCUCUGCAUCAUCACCCCAUAUGAAUUUCAUUCUGCCCAUUGCAUAAGGUUGAUAACAAACCAUAUCUCCUUUCCUCACACUGAACCCAUCUGGAAGAGUAUCAUCAGAAAAGCAUAUCUUUGCAUCCUGCAAUCAAAGUGAAGAGGUAGUGAGAUCCAAAGAAAACCCCAGAACAUAGAAAGGAAGCUAAUUUCUAGCCUUCCCGAUACGCAUUGAAUGGAUAUCAGUUUAUAGAUGCAUGUUCUUUGAUGUGCAUUAACAAGUUCAGUUGGAGGAUUCAAGAUUCAAGGAAACUUUGCUUACAACUGGAACAGCGGGGUAGAGCCUUAAUGUUUCAGUUAAGGCUGCAUGGAGAUAGUGCAUUUUUCCUAGAGCUUCUUCGCUCAAGAUAGCAGCAAAUUCAGCAAAA